GACGAACGCUGGCGGCGCGCUUAACACAUGCAAGUCGAGCGAGAACCUAGGCUUCGGCCUGGGGGAAAGCGGCGAACGGGUGAGUAACACGUUGGUAAUCUGCCCUCGGCAUCGGGAUAGCCCGGGGAAACCCGGAUUAAUACCGGAUGGCCCGACAGCUCUUCGGAGCGGUCGGAAAAGGUAGCUUCGGCCUCCGGCCGCGGAGGCGCCCGCGGCGGAUUAGCUAGUUGGUGGGGUAAUGGCUCACCAAGGCGACGAUCCCUAGCUGGUCUGAGAGGAUGAUCAGCCACACUGGAACUGAGACACGGUCCAGACUCCUACGGGAGGCAGCAGUGGGGAAUAUUGCACAAUGGGGGAAACCCUGAUGCAGCCAUGCCGCGUGUGUGAAGAAGGCCUUCGGGUUGUAAAGCACUUUCAGCGAGGAGGAAAGGUUGUUGGCUAAUACCCAGCAACUGUGACGUUACUCGCAGAAGAAGCACCGGCUAACUCCGUGCCAGCAGCCGCCGUAAGAC
rnacentral:rRNA from 1 species